rnacentral:lncRNA from 15 species
CCUGCACAGUGAGGCCAUCGAGCCAUUAGUGAGUCCCAGCACUGAUAAUGAAGCCACAGAGGUGGUCUGAGCCAGUGUGGCACAGGAGCUGGAGCACAGGAGGAAGGUAGAUUAGGAUAAUUACCUGGCCACGGGGGGAACGAUGAGAAAGAUGUCUCACUUCUUGCAGGCCUCGAUCGGAGAAGGACCAAGUGCAGUAUAAUCAGGCGUCCUCCACAUCUCUCUCAUCUCCUUCAUCCCUCCCCAGCCCCUCAGCCUUGUCUCGGGAUUGGCCUGUUUGUGUUUGGGAGGGGGGAUUAGAGGGAAUGACAUGGGCCUUGAGAUGAAGAGAGUGACAAAGACCUAUCAGAGGGCAGAGAAUCUGCGUGGUCUGCGGGCCCUCUGGGGGCACCUGGCUCCGCUCCCUGCGAUAUCUGGCCGGAUCGAUCGCAGAGGCCAUCCCAACGCAGAGACCAGGGGUCAUCUUCAAAGGCCUCCUGCCCACUUCCUGCCACCUGGUGUUCCAUUUUGGACAAAGGGUACAUUUCCUUUCCACUCCCUCCACCCUCCGUUGCCCUUCUCCGAACAGGUUAAGGACAUGAAGCCGGUACAGCUCCUCCCUGUGAUCUCCUUCAGCUUCCUCCCCAGUUGCCCACACGGGGAGAGAGGGGAUGAGAAGGAGAUAGAGGGAGAGGAAAUAAAGGUCUGA